rnacentral:rRNA from 1 species
GGAUACCCGAGGGAAACUUCGGUUAAUACGGUAUAAGACCACACUACCGCAUGGUAGAGGGGUAAAAGGGGCAACCUGGUAUGAGAUGGACUCGCGUCGCAUUAGCUAGUUGGUGAGGUAACGGCCCACCAAGGCGACGAUGCGUUGCCGACCUGAGAGGGUGAUCGGCCACAUUGGGACUGAGAUACGGCCCAGACUCCUACGGGAGGCAGCAGUGGGGAAUAUUGGGCAAUGGAGGAAACUCUGACCCAGCAAUGCCGCGUGAAUGAGGAAGGUCUUCGGAUUGUAAAGUUCUUUAGUCAGGGAAGAAGUCAAUGACGGUACCUGAAGAAUAAGCUCCGGCUAACUACGUGCCAGCAGCCGCGGUAAUACGUAGGGAGCAAGCGUUGUUCGGAAUGACUGGGCGUAAAGGGUGCGUAGGCGGUUGUACAAGUUAGAAGUGAAAUACCCAGGGCUUAACUCGGGUGCUGCUUCUAAAACUGUAUGGCUUGAGUGCAGUAGAGGUUAGUGGAAUUCCUAGUGUAGCGGUGGAAUGCGUAGAUAUUAGGAGGAACACCAGAGGCGAAGGCGGCUAACUGGACUGCAACUGACGCUGAGGCACGAAAGUGUGGGGAGCAAACAGGAUUAGAUACCCUGGUAGUCCACACUGUAAACGAUGGAUACUAGAUGUAGGAGGUAUCGACUCCUUCUGCGUCGCA